AUUCUGUAUGGUGGAGAUGUUAGACUUUGGUACACAUUUAGUUGGGUGGAAGAGCAGCUGGGUCAAAGACUUGGUAUUUUGAAUGUCUUUUUGUGUGUAUUUUUGAUGAAGAACUCUAGGCACGUCUGAUAUAGGACUUCAGAUAUAAAAGCAACUGACACUGCUAACAAAGAAAAGGAAUAUGAGUGAGCUGGUUUGAAUAAUUUUUUUUCAGAAAGGUAAAAUCCUGGGUCCUCAAAACCUCUUUUAGUUAGGAGUUAAGGGAAGAAAUACAUUGCAUAGCCUUCUCUGAUCAGGGAAAGCUAGAAGGACAAUUGGUGUUCCUUUGAAAUGUGUUUUAUGCCUUUCUGUUUUCUAAGCAGCCAUAGACUUCAGUUUUGGUAUUUCAAAGACACUGUUACUCAGUAAUAUAUAAACUUUUUAGGUGAUGAGGAGAUGAACAGUUCUGAUUGUUUUCUAGAAGACAUCCGUUGGUAUGAUGGUCAGUGAAAUUUAUAUUCAGAGACCUUUUAGAUCAGUGAAGGAAGUGAAUUUGAAUGUUAAGUAAGUGAUAUCUGUGAGAAUUAGUGUGUGGGAGAGGGUAGGUAAUAACAGAUGACACCAACUAAGUGUGCUAGGCUGCAGUUAAAAUUUGAAGAUUCAAAAUACAAAAGUUCCAAAGGUUUGGAAAUGGUUUUGUGAUGCCAGGUUGUUGUAGCUAGUUGAGGGACCAAACUAAUUUGAACUUCAGGUAGGGGACAUUAAAAUAGUACUUGUUUCAUUGCUAGUCAUUUGUUUUCCAGGCCAGCAAAAGUAAUUCUUUAUACAAAGGAAAAUAGCACUGGUUGUGCUUUUCUGUUAAUAUUUCUGAAAAACCUCUGAGAUGGUUAUUUAGUGGGUGUGACAAAUGAGUCCUUAGGUCAGUUUGCAGUGGUAAUGGCAAACUUAGUCAAAUUGAGCUGCAAAAGUGCUAAACCAAAACUGAACUGCUUUGGAUAUCGAUUUAGAAGUCCGUACUAAAAAUACACUUUUGAAACGGUCUUGGUGUCUAAGUAAAUAUGAAUAGAUGCCCUUUGCAAGUAAAGACAAGCAGCUAAAUUCAUUCUUAAGCCACCACUCUUCUGUUUUUUACUACAGGUUCUGUGGAAUGGUUCAUUUUCAAAUGUUUCAGAGCCACAGAAGUCAACAGACUGCUGUUAUGUUCUGCUUGUUAUUGAUUGCAUUUGCUUUAGUUUUAGCUACAGUGUAAUUUCUUGCAAGGAAUGGAUUGGUGAAGAAGGUGGUGUUGAAUCAUUUUGCCAGUGCAAGAGCCUAUGUUUAAUCAGAAGAAUGAUUUGCUUGUAAAUUAGUUUUGAACAAAACAGAUUUUAAGGAGAAGAAUAAGAAAGACCUGUCUUUUCCUUACUUUAAUAGCAGUUGAAGUCUUCAUAGAGUGGGAGACGCGAAGUACAUAUAACAAAUAAUUAGGAAAAUAUUGAUGAUAGUUUGAUCUGUUUGAAACUUCUCAUCUAGUACCAUGAAAAACUUUUUUUUUUUUUUUUGCUUACAGUGUUUUCUGUACAUGCUCUAGAAUCUGAAGUUCUGUUAGCUUGUAAAUAAAUAAUAAAAACCUGCUAAAUAUACUAAGUAAUGUACUACAUAAUGUUAAGCUCCUUCGAUGUCUCCUUAAGGCUUUUGAAUAAGCUGAAUGUAGGUAAAAGCUAUCUGGUAUUCUGUGUACUAUUGCCAAUACUUGGCCUUGUAGUUCUUUACCGUUUAAUUUUUCCUCAUUAAAUAGUUUGCCAGAACACAC